rnacentral:lncRNA from 1 species
GAAAGAGCAGAGGUCCGCAACGUGGGAUGAGCUAAAACCUGAAUGGGUUCUGACAUGCUGGAGUACGAAUUGGAAACCAAGGAUCACAAUUUCAUAUAUGUAAAUCAACCUAUUUCUUUGCCAGAGUCUGUGGAAUUAAUCUUCCUGCCUACAGAAGAAACUGGAGAAGUCCAAACAUGUAUGCCGUGAAUGCUGUAAAAAGCAUCAAAUAAUAGUUCUGAAUGAAAAUCCACAGUGGUGAGAACUUUUCUGAUAUUUAUAAGAAGACCAAAG